UGUCAAUAAACGGCUGUGCUCCCUGGCUAGCUCACGGGAAGCAAGACCAAACGACACCUCCGUCUCCUUGUUGUCUGAGCUCGCCACAUUGGUGUCAGAAGUGGGAUGAUGGUGGCACCCCAUGUUCUGACCCGAGUGACUUUUCCCCUGCCGGUCGUGACCGGCCGGUGCGCCAAAAGAAGGCACCUGGACAUUUGCAAAGUGAAAGCAAAAAACAAGCGCAAAUUCAAACGCGAUUUCAACAUGUCACAUAUUGACAGUGGCUCACAAUGACAUAAUUACCCAGCUACAUUUCCGAAAGAAUGCAAAAGCAUUGACAUAUAUUUUUCCUUCCUACAAUAGCCCGACGGGCAGGGCAGAGAUAGAUUUUGGUAGCCCGACUGGAAAAAUCGCUAGCCCCGGGACGUCGGGCUAGCGAUUUUGCAAGCCCUGCAGAGCCAGAUCAUCUCGAAAUAUACAUACAACAAGCCAAACCACACCUUGGUCACACCAACCCUUUUCCGCCCUGAAGAUGUCCAACGCCAUCUUAGUCUGGACCAGGGUUUUAAUAGUUUUGCAAUUUUCAUUAGUUUUUUAUUUUUAUUUAGUUUCGACUUCAGAUUUUCAAUUUUCUGUCAGUUGUAAUUAGUUUUUACCAAUUGUUUGCUAGUUUAGUUUAGAUUUUAUUUUUUUUUGAAAAUCCUUAGUUUCAGUUUAGUUUUGAUUAGUUUCAGUUAUAGGUUUAGUUGUGUUUGCAAAUAUUAAGUGUAACAAAAUCCCAGUUUCAUCAUAUCAGUCAUGCUCUUCUGCUUAUCCUUGGGUGUUGAGACUAUUAACUAUUAACUCUUUCAGCACCGGGUGUUCGUAAUUUUGGUUCAAGUUAAUUGGUAAACUUUUUGAAGGCAACUGACUCACACAGUUAUGUAGAUGUCCCCGUCCUGUUGUCUCCGGAUGCAUCACGCUGCCUUGUCUGGGGUUAGCUUCUGUUUUCUGGGGGUGAGGGUUGAGUGUGCUCCCGUACCUUCUCAAGGUAAGCUAGGUUAGCCUUCUGGUGUGAACUUUUCAAGUGCACUUUUGUGGGAUUUUUUCCCUUUAGAAAUGUCCCUCAUUUGCCCCUCAAUUUGUCUCUUUCCACUACAAGACACUUGCUUUAAGCAAAGCACAGUCAUAUUCAAAGUAAUCCCAAAUUGGACUCUGGCGCUUUCUCCCGACUUUUCCUGACAUGAUUCUGCGCGUGGACGGAGCAGCAACACAGACGACUCGACUAACGUACUGGCCACCUGCUGACUCAGGCUACGUUCACACUGCAGGCAAAAGCGCAUCAAAUCGGAUUUUUUUGACCCUAUGCGACCCAUAUCCGAUCAUGGUAUGACAGUGUGAACGGCACAAAUCCGAUAUUUUCAAAUCCGAUCUGGGUCACUUUCGUAUGUGGUCCUGAAUCC
ensembl:lncRNA